ACACGUAGGGGGCGAGCGUUGUUCGGAAUCAUUGGGCGUAAAGGGCGUGCAGGCGGUCCUGCAAGUCCGGCGUGAAAGACCCCGGCCCAACCGGGGGGACGCGCUGGAAACUGCGGGGCUUGAGUACAGGAGGGGAUGCCGGAAUUCCCGGUGGAGGGGUGAAAUCUGUAGAUAUCUGGAAGAACACCAAUGGCGAAGGCAGGCAUCUGGCCAUGUACUGACGCUGAGACGCGAAGGUGCGGGGAGCAAACAGGUUUAGAUACCCUGGUAGUCCGCACAGUAAACGAUGUGCACCAGGUGGCGGGGGGUCGACCCUCGGUACCGUAGCUAACGCAUUAAGUGCACCGCCUGGGGAGUAUGCUCGCAAGGGUGAAACUCAAAGGAAUUGGCGGGG
rnacentral:rRNA from 1 species